rnacentral:rRNA from 1 species
UACCAGCACCCCGAGUGGUCGGGACGAUUAUUGGGCCUAAAGCAUCCGUAGCCGGUCUUGCAAGUCUUCCGUUAAAUCCAACUGCUUAACAGAUGGGCCGCGGAGGAUACUAUAAGACUAGGAGGCAGGAGAGGCAAGCGGUACUCAGUGGGUAGGGGUAAAAUCCGUUGAUCCAUUGAAGACCACCAGUGGCGAAGGCGGCUUGCCAGAAUGCGCUCGACGGUGAGGGAUGAAAGCUGGGGGAGCAAACCGG